GGAACAACCAGGGAGCAGGGGUAGGGGUGGUUGACACUGUUAGGAUUGAUUGGCUACUUUGUUUUUAAGUUUGAGAGGAACAGAGUCACAUUUAUAACCUGAAGUGGGUGAUUCAGUAAAGGAGGAGGAAAUAAAAGAGUGAAUCAGAGGCUUCCCAGAAGAUCUGGAGCUUGACAGGACAUCUUCCAAAGGCCCUCGGAGGGACCCUGGCAAAGAUUUAACAUGCUCAUGUGUUUUUAUAAACUUUGCAAAGGAGAUGCUGGAGACUCUGGUUCAGUCCCUGGGUUGAGACGAUCUCCCGGAGGAGGAAAUGGCAACCCACUCUAGUAUUCUUGCCUGGGAAAUCCCAUAGACAGAGGAAUCUGGUGAGUUACAGCCCAUGGGGUCACAAAGGGUUGGACUCAGUUGAGCAGGCACACAGGUUAUCAGCGUUAAUUUUCUGGUUUUAAUGGUUACCUUGCAGUUAUAUAGGAGAGAGUCCUUAUUUGUAGGAAAUAACACAAAGAUGUGUUCAGGGAUGUUGGGGCAUCAGACCCACACUUCCUUUCAAACGGUGAAGGAUGAAAUGUUCUUUGUAUUGUGCUGUGUUGUAUUAGUUGCGCAGUCAUGGCUGACUCUUUGCGACCCCAUGGACUAUAGCCCGCCAGGCUCCUCUGUCUGUGGGAUUCUCCAGGCAGGAACACUGGAGUGGGUAGCCUAUCCUUUCUCCAGGAGAUCUCCCUGACCCAGAAAUCGAACUGGGGUCUUCUGCACUGCAGAUUACUGCACUUCAUUUAGGAGACUGAAUGGAAUCUCAACAUUUAAAUACCUAAUCGCUUGCUUUCAUCUCUGGCACAAGUGAACUGGAUUUCCCCACACAUAUGAGUCACCUGAUAACAAAUUUCCCGGCUUAAAUAGCUUUAAAAUGGCACUAUUAGUUAUGCAGCAGUAUGAACUGUGUCUCAGAGUCAAGGAUUUAUAGGAACAAUAUGUUUUUAGCAUUCAUGUUCUUUCUCAACAUGCGCAUUUUUCUUUCAUGCUGUAAAAAAGUUUUUCUGAUGCUGAAAAGUGUUUUGUGCAACUAUUUCAGAAUGAAGCCCCUCUCCUUCUUCUGGCUCCCAGAAAAAUCAGACAGCCUGAUGUGUUUUUCACUUUAAUCUGAAUUGUAAAACACUGCAUUCUUGCAGUUUUCCCACAAACUGAAGUGAAAGAAAUAUGUACUUGCUAUUUUGGGGGGCAUAUGUCUGGGUAAAUAAAACAUGCUCCCAAC
ensembl:lncRNA